UGAGGCAAUAAAAUCGACCAGUUUCACAGCAAACGGUGAAGUUUUAUUAAAGAUCUGCAGGAUGAUGAAAAGAGAAGUAUAUUUAUAUUACAGAAAUACAGCAAACAAUACGAUUUAAGUGCAGACUUUAAGAAGAAGCCGAGGUGAAUUUUACAAGAACGACAGAAGACACGGUGUGGAGGUAGAGAGCAGGAAGGAGUGUCAGACAUUGCCCUGAAUAACUGGUGGUUUGUGGCUCACCUGACUGACCUGCUGGAUCACUGCAAACUCCUGCAGUCACACAACCUCCAUUUUGGCUCUAACCUGCGGGUGUUCCUGGUGCUGGAGUACACCUCCGGACUCUUCUCUCAUCACAGACAGGGCGGACGGACCAGGGCAUUCGCCUGCCUGGCCGUGCCCGACGAGGAGCGCUCUCGGCCGGCUUGGGAGGCAGACGGCAGCCCCUCCUGGAAGUGUGGUUUUACCAUGGGCCUCAUGCGGAAUGCAGAGAUGUCCCGAAGUUUUGCGGAGUUUCGGGUGCUCGCGGAGGUUCACAGAAGGCUCGUCGGUCACUCCUGUGAAGGUGCAGAGAAGUCGUUGAUCCGAAGCUUCGUCGUUCAUGAAGAAAAGUCUCUGACCAAUAAUGUGCACAGCGAUUAAGUCAGAAGGAAUCCGGUUGCUUCUAACUUUUAAUUAACUGCUGGGUCUGCAGUCGUAACGUUACUUAUAAUAAACAAAUAAACCGGUUGUAACUCAAUUGAGUGAGACGACGCAACUUAGGUACUCUUUACCAUGACCAGUGGUAUAUACGAAAGCGGGUUGAGUCUUCUUUUUUGCAAGGCAGACGUCGUGAUUUCGGAUGGUCCGAUGAAUGGGGGUCUCUCUAUAUGUCUGUAUGACACGAAGAUCAACAGAGAGAGAGUGAGUUUGAGUGUGACCGGGUCACUUAUAGAGUCGGGGUGAUGUGACGUAGGUGAUCAUGGGAGUUAGUUGAUGGGAUUUGCAGUUCUAGACGGGGACUGUGGCUGUCCCUACAAAGCCCUCAAGUUCUCACUGUACUGUAU